ensembl:piRNA 21ur-1452 ncRNA
UUACAGAUCAGUUUUUAUUCC